CAUGGCGUUGCCUCUUGCCCUGUUAUAUUGUUAGGGACAAGCAUCAUAAUUUUGCUAGGCAUUGACUUUGCAUUAAGAGGGGACAAAUGCUUGAAGAUCCAUGUAAGAACUAGUUGACCAAGAACUUGGUUGAGGGGCUGAUUCUUAAGCCACCCUGAAAGAAGGUGGCACCGAGGAUGACGACACUGGUUGGUUUUGUUGACCUAACACCAAACUAGGCCUGUCUGGAAAAAGGAACAGCAAUUGAGAAAAAUGCCUCUGUAAGAUUGGCCGGUGGGACAUUUUCUUAGUUAGUGGUAGAUGUGGG
rnacentral:lncRNA from 1 species